rnacentral:rRNA from 1 species
GAUGAACGCUGGCGGCGUGCCUAAUACAUGCAAGUCGAGCGAACGGACGAGAAGCUUGCUUCUCUGAUGUUAGCGGCGGACGGGUGAGUAACACGUGGAUAACCUACCUAUAAGACUGGGAUAACUUCGGGAAACCGGAGCUAAUACCGGAUGAUAUUUUGAACCGCAUGGUUCAAAAGUGAAUGACGGUCUUGCUGUUACUUAUAGAUGGAUCCGCGCUGCAUUAGCUAGUUGGUAAGGUAACGGCCUACCAAGGCAACGAUGCAUAGCCGACCUGAGAGGGUGAUCAGCCACACUGGAACUGAGACACGGCCCAGACUCCUACGGGAGGCAGCAGUAGGGAAUCUUCCGCAAUGGGCGAAAGCCUGACGGAGCAACGCCGCGUGAGUGAUGAAGGCCUUCGGAUCGUAAAACGCUGUUAGUAGGAACGAACAGAUGUGUAAGUAACUGUGCACAUCUUGACGGUACCUAAUCAGAAAGCAACGGCUAACUACGUG